UCGUGUCUUUCAACAAUGAGUGCUCCAAUGACCAAAUUUAGCAAAGUAGAAGAUGAAGUUAUUGGUUUCCUUAUAAAAAAAAGUCGGAUUUAAGGCUAGGUCGUCUCUUAUUAAAUUUAAAAUAAAAUCAAACUGAUUACGAUUUAUUCUAAAAAAUUCUCGAAAUUUGAUUUCAUUAUUUUUCAAAUGACCGUUGAUUAGUAUUUCAUAAUAACCUUCCGUACUUCUCUUUGUAAAUAAUUGAUCAUGGCCUUUUCUUUUUUCUUCUGACAAAUAUAAGAGCAAAACGUCAUCAUCAUUUUCUUCUUCAAAAAGAAUUUUCAAUAUAUUUACGUCGUCAGAUGUAUCCAUUAUAAUUCAAAAAUUCACGGUAUGUUCGUUUAUACCGUUCACUAGAGUACUUCACACAUCAAAAUAUUAAGUACGACUGAAUGAUGAAACAUAAAUUACUCUCGAUCGUGACGUAAAAUCGUUCAGAAUAAACCAAGACGAUGCGAACGUUAUCUUCUAGUUCGUCGAUUGCGUUCGC